rnacentral:lncRNA from 1 species
AAAUACUAACACAAUUGGUGCAUAAUCAUUUGGAUAAAGUUAAGUCAUGAUGAAAACUAUAUAUCGCUUAAGAAUGAAUCAAGAAGCUAUUGGGUGAGACACUGAAAGUUUCAUUGUGGUAAUUCCGAGUACCUUGAUUAUGCAUGGAGAUGAUGAACAAAUUAAGUGUAUAAUUGAAGGAAGUGCAUCCUUGGCUUAAUGGCUCUCCAAAGGUUAUACUCAAAUAAUUAGCCUUCAUUUGUAGGUUGAUAAAAUAAUUAAGUUAACAAAAGUGACCCUAAAACUGUUUUACAAAUCCGCUAUUAUCACAACAAUCAUCAUCAUGUUAACAAACAAUGAUAACAAUGAUUACAACUACUAGUACCACCGCUCCUUGAGCUCUUGCUUUGAGCCGCUCACUGGGUCAGUGAGGCAAAACACAUUCUUUGUUUCCUUUAAUCCUCACCACAAUACUAUAAUAUCAGAGGCACCAGCCUCAUUAUACAGACAAGGAACAGUUCUCAGUUUUCUUCUGUGGAACCACACCUCCUGCAGGAUGUGAGAUUCACUUGCUAGUGGUGGCGCUUGCACUUUCUGUGUCUCUGGAGUUACAAUGGAGGGAAUGGAAACAUUCAUGGGCACACCUGAGCCCUGCUCCUGUCAUUCGGGUGGGCUGCAUAAAGUGGAUUGUUACAGUGCUGCCUGCUUUAGCCUCAUACUAAGCCCAAAUAUCAGUGAAAUCAUGGUUUUGAUGUGCUGGGUCUAUUUUUUCUGAUACAUAUUAAAGUAAACACAUAACUGUUAGUAAAUUUUAUCUAUGUACCACCUAAAAUAAUUUCAUGUCUUGCAGUGGUCUAUAUACCACAUUUUGGGAAAUACUGGACUAGAGAAGAUGUCAUAGUGUCCUGUGUUGUUUAGAAUGCUGCUUUUUUUGUGCAUUUAUGUUUCAAGUUAUAGCACCUCCCUUCCAGGACAAAAAAGCUACUAGGAGUAAGUAUGGGGGAAAAAGCAUAUUUACAGGAAGAAACAUUUUGGAUUGUAUUUUAACUCAUAUUUUGUGCCAAUAUGGAUAUGAAGCAGUUAUGAGGAUGUUCCUUUUUGCCUAUGUGAUAAAGUUGUCCUCUUCUAGUCCAUACCAUUUCUCUGGAGCUUCACCUGUAGCUCUGGGUAAAAGGAGACUAUAGCCUAAAGGCUCCCAAGUUAGGCACUCUUUCUCUCAUUUUCCUGUUAAAAUAAGACCUUUCACUUUAGUUUCCUUCUGUUACUGCUCAGGGGGUAAGCUUGUGAGGGCAGGCCCGUGUCUGUCUGGUUUAUCACUGUGUCUGUAGCACCACACCUCCUCGGCACAGAGUAGGGGCUGAGUGAAUAUUUGUUGAACUAAUGAAUGAGUGAACGAGCAAGCAUAUUCAUACAAGGACUUGUCAGGUGAGCAGGUCAAAUAUUAUUGAGGGUGGAACUGAGGCAAGGGGAAGUUAUGAGGUAUCUUUAAUGUCAGAUGAUCAGGGACUGAAAUGGGACUUGUAAGUCUUUUGCCCUUUUAUAGUGUAGGUCCUUGAAAUAUGUUUGUGGAAUAAAUGAGUUAGUGAAAGAACAAUGUAUGUUGUUCUCUUAAACACACUCAUAUUUUAUUGGAUGAAAAGGGAAACUUUUAAAGAGAGAGAAACUGCCUUUGUGGCUUCAUGUUGUGAGGAACUAGGCCAGGUGGGAAUGAGGAGACAGAAUGGGCAGAUUUAAAGUGACUUAAGUAUCUUAGAAGUAACUGAACAUAUUGUCUAUUAGUAAGAGUAAUUUAAUGGUGGGAUGACAGGGAGUGCCUUAAACUAGCUCACAAACCAGUUUUUGUCUUUGUCAUAAAUAUGUGAUUAAGAAGAAACUUGUUUCAUGCUGGAAAAUUCUUCUUGUGAGAUCUUUAUUUUGGUACACAAUGCACCAAAACAUUUGUUUCUAUUUACCUUGAAAAAACCCCCUCCAGAGAUAGCAUGUGGGGAGCAGCCAUCUGUUCAGGAUUACACUUCUGAAUUGCUGUUUCUCUGAACCCGCCUGACUCUGUAUAUGUUCAUGUAACAUAUCAGGACUGUUUCCCCCCUUUAUCAAGUUCGUUUAUCAACACCGUCGAAAGGAUGUACUUAUAUUCUAGUGUGCAUUAGAACUGUUAAUUGGCUAUUGCAUAACAGGUUAAACUGGGAACCCUGGAGUCUCUGGAUUCAGUUGCUGAUUGUUUUUACUCUGCCAUCAGACCUCGGAACAAGUCAUUAUAUAUGUCUUACCUUUCCCCAAAAUAAAUAGCUUUAAAUGUUCAUGAAAUUAGGGGCAGCUCAGAUGCUGUGUAGCUGGUUAGGACUCUAGUAGCAGUGGGCUGAGGUACAGUAGAAGGGAAAAGAGAAGUAUGUAUAACAGUAAUCUUGAUUCUUAUGCCCACUACUCCCAUUGGACCCCUAAGACUCUGAUACUGCACAAGUGGAGAGAGACCCCGCUAUCGCCAGGUAAGCAUCUCUUCUGGGUGAAACUAUGCUGCCUUAACACUGAUAUAGACUUUAAAAAGGCUGUUUUCAUGUGCAUAAUCUCACAUCAACCUCAUUUCAAACACAGAGGGAAAUAGGGCAAAUUUUAUUACCCCAGUUUGUGUGUGUGUGUGAGGAAAAUAGGCCCUGAGCUAACAUCUGUUGCCAGUUUUCCUCUUUUCACUUGAGGAAGCUUGUCAUUAACAUCUGUGCCAAUCCUCUUCUAUUUUGUAUAUGGGAUGCAGCCACAGCAUGGCUUGAUAAUCGGUGUGUAAGUCCGUGCCCAGGAUCUGAACCCAUGAACCCUGGGCUGCCGAAGCGGGGCAUGCGAACUUAACUACUACGCCACCUGGCCAGCAUCUAUUACCCUAGUUUUACUGGUGACAAAAUGGAGGCUCUAAUUGUCUAGGUGAUUUGGUCAAAGUCACACAAUUAUUGGGUCAUAGAGCCAGGACCUGAGCUCAUACUUUCUGAUCCCCUUCCUAUUAUGCUAAUUCUUUGAUUUAUCUUGGAAAAGACAUAUAAGGAGUUAAAGGCAUGUUUCAUUUAUAGUUGGUGUGGUGUUAACUUCUUUGACUCCCUUGCAAAAUUUUAUUUGCCUUUAAGCAAGAUCCUUUAACUUAAGCAAAAACUACACCAAACAAAACCAUCCUUACAAUAUAUAGCAUACAUAUAAAGAACUAAAGGGCAACACUCUCAGCUAAAAGAAAACAUUUUGUGUUUCAUUACAGAGCAGUUUUACAGCCCAAAUAGAAGCAAUUGUGAACCAGCUAAGAGGUUUUUCCUGUUACCUUAUUUGAUGAAGUUUCUUUACUGAACCUCCAAGGUCACUCUCAUAUAAAGAAACAGAGUAACAUCUGGAUUUCAAAGAAAAUUAAUCACUUCUUAAAGCUGUCCAAUUACUCUGUUAGAAGGUAUUGUUGUUAAGAAAUUAAAAUGGAAAUACCAGUGCUUGUCUCCUGAGAUUUGGUUGGAGAACCUUCUGGAUUCUAUUCUGUAGUUUGGCUCCUCUGACCUUGGACACAGCUUUUUAACCUUUCUUAACUCAUCUAAAACGUGCCUCAUAGAGGUUUGUUUUGGGUUUAGAAAUGCUUUGACAUUUUUGGAUUAAAGGUGAAGUGGACAAAAAUGCUAUUCUAAGGAAGCUUGGAGGCUAAUGAAAUAUUUUUAUUAUUCUUUUCAACUUUCGUCUCUGGAAGGGCAAGGAGUGUUUUAUUCUUGGAUCAUUUACUUAUUCAGCAAACAUUUACUGAGUACCAUGUACUACACCAUGACCAGCACCCUCCUCUGCUCUCCUGGUGCGGUGCCAUCAGGCGAUGCUUCUGAAAACACGGCAAAGGACCUUUAUUUCCCUUAUGGAAUGUGAGUGCUUGGUGGCCCUAUAUAGGCAAGAGUGGAAUUUUCUGUCUCCCCCAUAUAUAACUUGUACUUUACAAUAUCCUGCCUUACUGCUAUUGAAUGUGUCACAAGCAUUUGCUAUUAGAAGGUAAGCUCCUUGAAGGAGGAAUCCAUGGCUUACUUUUCCAUUACUCUAUUCAGUACAAAAGAGUAGUGAGGAAUUCUUUACCAAGGAGUCCACGAUGGAUGCGUUUCGCAGCACUUGUGUACUCCCUGAAACUGUAAAACAUUAUUUUUGCAUGUACAGUUUUCUGUGAAGAAGGUCCAUCAUUUUCAUUAGAUUCUCAAAGGGGUAAGUGGCUCGUGGUUGACCUCUGUAGGUUAACCACUCUAAUGGGCUUUUGAUGACUACUUGAAUGGUAGAAACUAUAGAAAAACAGAUAUGACCUUGAUGUAUGAGACAGUGUUGUCAUGAUUAGAAGUCAUGCUUGGGGAUGGCUCUCAGUUCUACAACACUGGAGAUGUUAAAUUAACAGCUGGAUAACCCUUCAGUGAUAAUAAUGUAGGGAUGUUGAUCUACUCUCUUUGCUCUAUGAUUCUAUGAUAAUAUCAGUCUUCACUAGAGAAUACUUCUAAUUCUUCACGUACAUGUACCCUCUCAUUUCCGUUUUUGUGUGACUCAGUCUUUGGACUAUUUAUACACCUAAAGAAUCUUUUUGAUGGAUAACCAGAGGCCUACAAAUUAAUCCAUGAGAACCAUGGCCCUGAGGAUAUGUGAAAUACCGAAUAACAGGCAGGGAGCUUGGCAUGAACUCUAGAAAUAAAGAGAGGGUAGAAUGAUUUUUGAGUUGAGGAUAGAAGUAUCAGAAGAUAGGAGUUGACAAGCAGGUUGACACAGUUGCUAAUAGGUUAAACAGACUAGGAUUUAAUUGAGUGCUAAAUUGGGCUAGUUACCUUUAAAUUUAGGCCUCUGAGCAAUUUUGGUUUGUGCUGCAAUUUUGCUACUUUCAUUCAAAGAAAUUAGGACAAUGCAACUCCAGAGAUGAGUUGCAGAAAUGCAAAGUAGUAAAAACAUAUUCAUUUUCAAGUAUGAACAUAUACAGGUUUGUGCAUGAGUAUAUAAAUGUAUGCAACAACAUGCUCGUGCCUUGAUACCUGUGGAGAUGUGGAUCCAUCCACAUGAAUGCAUUACUUCACACAUAUACCAAAUGUAAGGAGGAUUAAAUACUUAUCUAAUAGAAAACUUUCACUUGCAGGGAAAUAGGAAAUAGAGCAUUUCAAAGCAGUCGAAUAUCCAAUGGAUGAGAAAAAUAUUUUAGGUAAUAUACUGAUGCCUCUUUCAGGGUUAAUGUCAUGAAACUUCACAGGGUGUAUAAGUAUCUGAAUAGAGACAGAACUCAAGCUGAUAGUAUCAUACCAAGUGAUAGUGUAGGUGAGAGAAGUCCUAAAGAUAUCCAUUAUAGUCUAAAGGAAACUGGCUAUAUUACAUGCUCCAGUUUUCCUUGGAGAAGUGUGUUUGUUAAAUUGUGAUCACCAACAUCUCCAGUCCCAGUUUUUUAGGUUGGACGUAGGGGGCCUUUAAGCAAGUGCUUCCUCAGAAUGCUUUCUGGUGAUCUUCUAAGCUGGCUGUUUUCCUCUUUAGCAUUCUGCAAAGUCUCACUUAGCAUCCUUUAGCUUGUGAAUUUUUGAUGAGUAUGGUACUGCUAUUUUUACAUAAGUUUUGUAAACUCCUUUGAGGAAUGCAGAGGUACAUGGAAAGAAGAAGAUUGUGGUGAGCUUCUUCCUUUAUUUAAUCCGUCCAUGCCCCAACCUCACAGAGACCAGUAUAAAGCUGUAGCUGUAAAAGCUAACUGAUUUGCCCAGUGUUUUUGUUUUGAAGGACAUCAACUAUUUUUAGCAACAAAGAAGUGUUAGGAAGGGGAGGAAGGCAUACCUCAGGACAGAGCUGAAAUGAAGCCCAGAAUCCUGAAGAGAGUGGAGUGGAAAAGCAAGAGUACCUUAGUGAAAGGUCGCCUAAGUGGAGAGUGUAGAUCUAAUGUUCUGGAUGGUUGUAGGAAACCCUCAAUUAAGAGCUCUGUUAAUGGAGAAUUUAGGAAAUGUUAUUAAAAAUUCUCUUAGCCAGCCUAAUAAAGGACAUCAGGACGUGCAAACUGAGCUCGUUGUUUAAUUUGUACAGUAAUCUGUAUUUUGGGGGGGGGGGUUUGAAAUCAACUAUCAACAUGCUUAUUGAGCAACUAUACUUGUACAAAGCAUUGUGCUAGGAAAUGUGUGUGAAGGGUGGGAGGAUGGCAUUUAAAAAUACAAGAUGAGUACAUGUUCUCCAAAAAUAUACAGGAAGCUAUGUGUUAGGAACUGUGUUGGGUGCUUUCCAUAUGUUAUCCCAUUUAAUCUUUCAAACAAAUAUUAGGAAUUAUAAUCAUCCCUAUUUUACAGAUGAACAGCCUGAGACUCAGAGAAGUUAAAUUCUUUCCUCCCUCUUUUCCCUCCCUCCUGCCUUCCUUCCUGUUUCCUUCUCUUUCUUUCAACAAAGUUGAACUAAAAGGCUAAUAGAACAUGGUGUCUUUCUCCCAAGGUUUCACUUUGUCUGAAGGUAGCAGAAUUGUAGCUAUGUAAUUGCUGCUAUAGCAGAGGAAUGAACUCAGCAAUAUGGGAGUUCAGAGUAUGAAGCCUUCUGUUCUAUGUGGAUAUCAGAGAAGACUUCCUGGAAGAGGACAUGUUUGAGUUGAGUCUUAAAAGAUAAGAAAGAGUCCGUUAGUAGACAAGGAAGAUAAGGCAACAGUAACAGCGUGGCAGAUACUGCUGGCUUCUCGCUCAACAGCCAUUACCUUUUGUCUUUCUGGAGAAAGCCAAGAUUUUGCUCAGGUGUUCCUUUUCCUACUUGAUCUGAGGGAGAGUGACCGUAUCCCUACCUUCAGGAGUAAGUACUGAGUGGUUUAAGCCGAUUAUGGUGAGUCCAUCCCUCUAGUUUGAUUAGCUUAGGGGUGGGCAUUUGAACGAGUUCUGGCCAAGGCCAUAUAAAAGGAAAUCUGCUGGGUGACUUAGGAAAUGUUUCUUGCCCUUAAGAGGGAGACACUGGAAGAGAUAGCCAUCUUUUUUUGUCUCUAGGUAUUGCUGUACUUGGAAGGGAUGUUUAGAACUACCACGGCCGUCUUGUGACCAUGAAGGGAGCCAAUCUGAGGGCAAAUAAAAUUUUCUGAGGAUGGUAAAGCAAAGAAAUAAAAACCAGUGUCUUCAAUGACAUCGUUGAGUUCAUGGACAACUGUGCCUGCUUUUCAAUUCAUGUUACCUGGUGUUAUAAUUGUCUUUGUUCCAUCAGCAGGUUUGGAUUGAAGUCUUCUGCAAUGGCAUCCUCACUGAUAACAGAGCAGAUGCAAAUCAUAGGGCUCAGAAAGGUCACAGGGCACUUAGAAAUGGACAAUAGUUCCUCACGUCUGAAAUGCAGGAUAUUGUGGAGUGGAGAGUGUGAUGACGGCUAGAGAUAAGGUGAAAUACUAGACAAGGGUCAGAUCAUGAAGGGCCUUGUAUGUUAGGAUCAGACAUUUGCACUUUAUUUUGUACGUACUGGGGAGGCAUUGAAAAGUUUCAAGCAAGGUAAUGGUAUAAUUAGGUUUGCAGUUUAGAAGCAUUCGUCUGACUACUGUGUGGUGGAUUGAAGAGUACCCUCUGAUAAGACACCGAGGUCAUUCAGUUCAAGAACAAAUGGAUUCACAUGCAGCCACCUAAAAAUAUUCAGCUGCUUUUCCUGCUGAAGCACUCAGAUGACCCACAGGACAAAGGCACAGUUCAACCCCUUCAAUUACGGAUGAGCUAAAUGAAGCUGAGGGACGAGAUGUGACUGGUUCAAGGUCACAGAACCAGUGACUGAGAGAACGGAUUAGAACCCACUCUUUUUUUCAGCUUCAUUGAGUGCACAACAGUGGAAGCCACUCUUGCAAGCUCCAAUCAAGGUGUUCUUUCUGCUACCAGAUGAUCAUUGAUCGCUGCACUCAGAGUUUCAGACCUUUCACAUGGGCUCUGGAGAAAGAGAAAGGCUGUCUGACUUAUUGAGGAGGAUGCCAAAAGUUUGUUAACCUAAGUCCUGCUCUUGGCUCACUGUGUUCUAGAAUAACUCAGUUUUCACUUCAGCUAGAUAGAGUAAAAUGGGAUCAUCUGCCUGGGAAAACGGCCCUUUGUGGACAGUCCUCAAUCAUGCUUGGAUUCCGCAUCAUCAGCCACGUCAGCAACGUGUCAUUAACCUGAAAAAACUCACCAGGCCUUCAGAAUGCUGAGUGACAGAUGAGGCGCACCUCCGUGCUCUGGCUCUGCCUAACCACACCACCAUGAAAUACAUUGCUUAUAACUCUACCAUUCCUUCUGUAUCCCAAGGUUACUUGUAGGAGAAAUAGAAACCAAGGCGUAUCACUGUGUUUCCUCGUCUCUCUAACUUGAUAUGGGUGAAAUCAGUUUUAAAUUAAGGUCGUCCUCUCACCACGUUUUGCUUUGCCCCUCUGCUCACAUUGCAGCUUUCUGGGCUGUGCUCUGAGAAGUGAGGUAUGAGCGUGGCUGCCCACGUUUCCUACGGUCUGUCUGCGAGUCACCAUCACCCCUCGGGGUUGAUGAGUGCAGCAAGUAGGCUUUCACUGAAUCUCCACUUUCUUCCCUUUUUUUCCCCUAGAUGCUUUUCCCCGGCCCAGAAAGAACUUUUCCUUCUACCCCGUGUCCUGAGAAAUGCCAUUACAUCAUAAACUAUAUCCUUCCUCCUCUGUGACGUAUGUUAAAGACGCUUUGCUCUGAAUACUCCAGGUUUUGGGCCUAUAAAUCCUUUUAUCCUACAACAAAUCCUGGCUCUUGCAAAUGCAAUCAAGCUUUAGCUUUAAGAGUUACUUUCUCCAAAAUAAUUUUUGUUUAAGAAUCUAUCAUGAAAGCCAGAAUUUAAAAACUGAGGAAGAAGGGCAGGUAGUGAGGGACUGGACUGAAAACAGAGAUUGUUAAAAUGUGCAUUUUGAGUGGGAAGAUCCUUCAGCUUCCUUCCAUAUCCGGUUAUCUUUCCUCAGGAAGCUACAGGAGGAUGUGUUCCACCAAUAUGAGGGACUAAACCAAGAAAGAGGAAGUGUGGGAUUCAGGAAGCAGGAAAAUAUGUAGGGAAUUCUCAGGAUGGUGCUGAAGGAAAAUCCCAGGAUAACAGCUGUGCAUUAGGUCCAGACUGGAAGAGAGGAUGGAGGGCACCAGGGAAAAAGGAUCAUCGAGUUGCUUUUACUGUAUGGAAAGUUGAACUGAGUUGCUGUUAAAGGGCCUGGGCAGAUCUAGCUUCUAGAACAAGAUGAAAAAAAGAAUCUCACCAAAUUCUAAGGAGGAACAGUUACUGAUUCCAGAAAAAAAAAAGUUGCACCAAGAAGGACAGGUAAUCAUAGUCAGCCACUUAAUUCAGCAGUGAACAAUAUUUAAAUGUCCAAUUAAUGUAAGCUCUGACUAUUGCUUUGAUUAAAAAAGAAAACACGGCAUAUAUUUAUGAUGGAAAAAUGGGGAGAGGAAGAUGGAUGUGAGUGUAGAGUAGUACUCUCAUCUUUUAUGUUACUCUUGUCCUUGUUGUUUACAGCCAGUUAAGGAUUUGUAUCUGGUACUCCUCUUCAUGAUCCCUGCUACAGUGCUGCGCUCUUGUCAUUUCAGAAGUUCUCUUUCUUCAACUUUCUCUGCCUUCUUUUUUCCUAGAGCUUCAUUUCAAUCCCCUGCUCUUUGAGAACUCUUCUCUACUGUCUCAUUAGCAUUUUUUCUUACAAUUUCUCAGAGGUCUUUACACUUUAGCAAUUUUUGCAUUUCUUC